CGUGUCUAGGAACCGACAGAAUUCAAAGUCCAAUCAUUAAUUUGUAUAAAACAACUUCACGAGGGAAAAGAUACCACAGCAGCAAGCUCUUCAGAAAAGUUAGACUUUAUUUGCACAGGUGCACAAAGCCGGAUCAAUUCUGCAGAAUUGAACCUCGAUUGUCAGUUUUACAUUCAUCUUAUACACUGUGUACCCCACAACUCCCCCUAACACAUUCCUUACAAUACCAUCUGUCCUUCUUGGCACCACAAUGAUUUCCUGUUCUUGGGUCUACCUGACCUUCUUGGCACCACAAUGAUUUUCUGUUCUUGGGUGAUAACAUCAUUGUGGAAAGUUACCCCAACUUUCCCUUAAAAAAUAUUAGUCUUUAUUCUGUAAUUUUCCAUUAAGAAUACAAGUCACAGCCUCCUGUAAUUUUCCAUUGUAUUCAGGUUACAUAGGGGUCACUGUAAAAUAUUAUGUAUGGUUAGUAUUUGAUUAAUGUUUUCUGCUGAGUGAGUAAGUGUGUUUUUUUUUUAAGCCUUCUGCGUUCUCUUGCUUUUUUUCUACAGUUGAUACUGUGGUUUCUUGCGUUUC